UCUUCAGUACGCUCCAGUAUACGAACUCUGGACAUAAAACGUGAUACUGUGGCUUGUAUAGAACCAGAAGAUCUAUAGGCUCAUUAAGAAAAAGAAGACUGUAGGCACGUUGACAAAGUCAUGAUAGAUAAGGCAGAACAGGGAAACAUCAUAAACGAGGUAACUAACGCUAUCGAGGACAAAGGAAGCAUCGAGUGUUUCUCAGGCACGUACACCCAGUAGACAAUUAUAUCCCUCGGAAAAUUUCUCAACUGAGAAGUGACUAUCAUUCUUCAUACUCGCAGUCCUUUGAAAAAUUUCUCAACUGAAAUGUGACUACUUUUCUUAAAAUUCACAGUCCGCCUACACACUCAUGAUUAAUGUAACGACUAGAGUUUAUGUCCGCUUAGAACUAUAUUUGACAUAAAGGUGAAUUAACAAAAGUUUUUGGAAGUUUUAAAUAAACAUUAAGUUUAAAUACAUAAAUACAGCGAAUGUGCAAGCAAUUUUGUCUACAGCAUGCAGAAUAUGAUGAGUUGUAAAAACAUUGUUUAUAUUUUAAUGUUUCACUAAAAUAUAGCAUAAAAGUGAUAAUAUAAUUAUAUUAUUGUAAAAUUUAUUAUGUUAUAUUUAAAUAUUGUUUAAUAUGAUGAAUUAUUUGUGUGAUUGUUUAUUUCUAUGUCUUUUCUCUCAUAUCUCUAGGAAAGACGGAAUAGGAUCUUGGCGUGGAGUGCAAGAAAGACAAAUAUUAUUUACUUAAAGGAGCAACUCAGGAGACUAAUAUUAUGCCAUUUCAGAUAAGUUUUCUUUUUUUUUUAAAGUUUCUUGGAUUGCAUUAAAUAAAAAACAAUUGCUUUGUGGACUUUUAUUGUAUUUUUCAGAUGUAUCUGAAGUGAAUUUAUUACAACGAACAUUAAAUUAAUUCAAAAUGGACAGAUCUUGUAUAUGAACUUUUUCUAGAUUGGCAGAGAUUGAAGUAAAAGUCGAUUACAGAAUAACAGAUCUGCUACCAUGAGAAAAGGAUGGCAAAUGUGAAAUAAAAUGUGCUGCUGCUCGUGAAAAGUAAGGAAAUUUUUGUUCAUCCGAGAGGCUGAUAAGUUGGAACAUGCUAACGAUAAUGUAUAAACUACAUCAUCGAGGAAGAAUCUCUGGUAAACAAAUUUGUGUUGGUAUCCAAAGAUAAGGGAAGUUUGAACUGUACUGCGUCUUUUGUUGCCGGUGUUGUAAAGGCUUUGCGGCUGUAAAUUUGUAAAUGACUUCAAUUAUUUAUUUCUUAAAAUAAUUUAUUGAUCAAUUAUUAAUUUUUUGCACAUUUUUAUGUUUGUAUAUUUUAUGAGACAAAAUUUGUUAAAAACGUUUUAAAUGUUAUAGCCCACUAAGGUAACAUUGGCUUAAAGGAAUCAUGUGUGAUUAAAAUUAAUGACAUCGUUGUUACAUGCGACAAGCCGUUGAAAAAUCGGUAAGAUAAUAGAAAUAUUAUAUAUCUUCUCUUUCUGUAAAGAGAAAGUAUAUAAUAUUUAUAGACAUAGUUUAUCAAUUAGUGUCACAAAUCUAAAAUUUCCAAUUAUGUUAAAUUUAUAUUUUAUAUGUUUAUAUUUUAUAUAGGUAAAUAUAACAAAAACACAAUAUAAAUAUAAUAUAAAAUAUUUUUAAUAUUUGUAAACUUUUUGUGUAACUAUCUUAGGUCGCUCUCAGAUUUUUCUCUAUCGUGAGAUUCGCAGCUGAGUGUAUCCCACUGAUAAAUGUCGAUCAUUUGACAUCGUUUUCAAAAUUGCGCAAAAACUGAGGUUAAGAAUGUUCGUUAGAUAAAACGGUAUCCGUUUUAGUGGUAUCAAAUGUAAAAAUCUGGUAUUUAUGAGUGACACAAAAUUAGCUACACAGCAUUUUAGCUGUGUACGAUUUGUGUCGACUUGUAUCAUGAAAAGCAACGGAUUGUACACUGCAGUGUUACACACAGUGUCAACUUGUGUCGUAAAUAAAAAGCACCCAAUGUGCAGUACUGUACAAAAGGCUUAUAACUUAUCUUUAAUCUAAUGCUGAUGCUCUGUAGCAGUAUUUAACAAUUAGCCCAGCAUUUUUGUUGUCCACUUGGCCUUCGUAUAGGAUUCAUUGCCUUACAAUAGACAACGGAGAUAGACCAAUAAGUAAUACAUAAAUAAUAUUCUUCAUUCGUGUAAUGAAGAUAAUUAUUUAGAAUACAGAUCUAGAAUACGGUUUUUGUGCUAGAUUCUGUUGUUUUGUACCAAAACACAUGGAAUGAGUAUAUUUUUAUUAAGUAUAUUUUUAUUUGAGGCAAAAUCUGUAUUCUAAAUAAUUAUCAUUCUUGUCUAGCAUUAAUUAUUAUCUUCAAGGAAUUAAAAAUCUUACUCUUCACAUGCUUGAAUAAAGAAUUUUAUGUUAAAAUCGGCGUAUUGUUUAAAGUUGUAUAAAUAAGUUAGGAUGUGUAAAGAACAAAUUUCUAUUAUAUAUUAUAUAUUUUUUUGUACGUAUACAAAACACUCAAUAUUAUGUAUAAAUUAAUAGAUAUGCUAAAGCAUACCAGUGAGAAAUGACAGGUUAAAAAAACGUCUAAUCAACGUUUAAUAAACCAAUUGAUACAGACGUUUAAAAUUUGGCCGAUUAGACGUCUUUGUGUCAUCAAAAUUGAACGACUAUUAGACGUUUUACAAAAACUCUUUAUAAAUAUUUUCUUUGAAAUAUCCAUAACUAUUAUAUUAUUGCACCACAUGAUCUCAAUGAACAAACCAAUGUUUUUGUAAUAUUUUAAAAAACAUUUUUCGUAAAAAAAAUUGUUUUCAUGGUAUUUGUUUUCAGAAAUUCCCGAGCGACCACCCAUCCAAGUCGCAACUCCGGUGAACGUUGCUUGACUUCCGUGAUUACUGCGAACUGAUCCCUCAUGAUGAUCUGUAAAUACUUUGUAGUCAUAUGUGUAAAUAACUGGUAGAUCAGAUCAAUAUAUGUUAUCGAAAAGAUGAAACAUGUAUAAUUAAAGGAUAUUACUUAUAAAAAGAUAUAUAAAA